rnacentral:lncRNA from 1 species
GCAGAUGCUUAUGGUUAAUUAUUCGAGUGUCUGAAUUACCCUGCGAGCAAGAUUUUAAGUGUCCAUCGGCACGGGCCGUAUCCAUCGUGCCGUACCGUACCAACAAGAUACCGCCACGACAUAAACUCCGUACAAAACCCUCUAUUCUUUAGAUUAGUAAGUAAUUUCCUCAAUAAAGUUCAAAAGAUGUGAUAAAAAGAUAUAAUAAAUAGUUAGAAUAUUUUGUUGCUAAAGAAAAUAAAUAUUUCAUGCUAUUAUGUGUCGGCACACAAGAAUUUUUUUGACCGGCACGCAUCGGCACGGCUCGGCACGCACCAUGCCGUACCGUGCCGGCAAAUUUCCGGCACGAUCCCGUGCCACGACACUUUUCAUAUUAUUCUUGCCUGCGACUGUCCGAAAC